AUUUCUAAAUCGCUGAAGUUAAAAAACGCGGGGGAACCACAUAAACAGGAAAAUGUAUUCCUUGGGGUGAAUCCUUUUGAAAAAGGUAGGGCUACUCUCAGCCCGAAUCCGACAGCUAACCUCGUAAGCGUUACAGAGAAGAGAU
rnacentral:sRNA from 2 species